UACGUAGGGUGCGAGCGUUGUCCGGAAUUACUGGGCGUAAAGAGCUCGUAGGUGGUUUGUCGCGUUGUCCGUGAAAACUCACAACUCAAUUGUGGGCGUGCGGGCGAUACGGGCAGACUGGAGUACUGCAGGGGAGACUGGAAUUCCUGGUGUAGCGGUGGAAUGCGCAGAUAUCAGGAGGAACACCGGUGGCGAAGGCGGGUCUCUGGGCCGAUACUGACGCUGAGGAGCGAAAGCGUGGGAGCGAACAGG
rnacentral:rRNA from 1 species